rnacentral:lncRNA from 1 species
GCUUGCUGUUGUAUUAAUUUGCUUAAACUAAAACAUUGUGUUCAUUCAGACUCUUUGAAUGGCGCUUCUUCUUUGAAUGGCUCUUUGAAUCACAGUCUUGAUUCAAGUAUUAUUACUUCAGGAAUAAAAAUACUUUUUGUGUAAUUUGGAUAACAGCUCUCAUAGCAAAAGUGUCAUAAAGAGGUGCAUUAAGCUACAGGAACAUGUAGAAGCCAAUAAAUAACACAGUUUAAACAUUUUCAGAAGUAUUUCCGAACCACAUAAUUUUUCCCUUCUUGAGCAGUGACGUAGAAAAAAAUACAUUAAUUGGUCUGUGAAAUAAAAUUACUGCUAUAUAAUCGUGAUUGGCAUCGUAACUUUUAUCCGAUUUGAACAGCCAGCUUUAAUAGACACAUCAGUGGUAAGAAUUUUUGUCUUCCUUUCUCCAAGAUACUUUUCAUCCUCUUUAUCAAUGUCUAUCAUCACCGAUUUCAUGAAUCACAAUAAACUAAACUUCUAAUACUGAAUUUCUAUUUCUACUAACAUAGAAAAAUUAAGGGAUAUGUUAUUUUACUGUAUUGUUGUUGUUGUUUUUUUUUUAAUUACUAUUUUGUUUUGUUUCCUCCCCCCCCCAUCAAUGCAUUCAGGUAAACUUUCGGUAGUACAAACUUGGGUUGUCAGGUUGCCUGUAUUCUAGAAGAAGUAAAGAGAUAAAUGAACUAUUCUUGAGGUUCCUUUUUUUUUUUUUUUUUUUAAGUAGACUUUUAUGACCUUCUCUCAACAAACAAAGACCAUUCACAAUUUUCUUAUGAGUUUUCAGUGUCUCUUGGGGUAACCUACAAAGAUGUCAUACUUACUUCUAGUCCAACUGAUACAGCUUGGGACAGUGGCAAUGGACACUCAGUAAAUGACAGAAACUGAAGGAAGAUGGAGAUUGAAUUCAUGCUUCAUCACAUCCCAUAAAAGGCAAUUUUUCAAGUCCUAUGGCAACAUCUGCACUAGUUCAUGGAGAUGGAGAUGGAGAUGGAGAUGGAGAUGGAGAUGGAGAUGGAGAGAUCAUCCUUCUAAAACAGUAGUAAAGAAAAUAAGUGUACAGGUAGAUAGAACUAAUCUACUCAUCCAUUGUUGAGCUGCAAGAUUGAGAAAUAAAUUUAGUCUUCCUUUGAAUCAGACAAGACUGUUCUACAGCUGCAUUUUAAGAAAAUGUUGUGGAUAAUGAAAGAAGUCAUUUCUGACUGCUGGAGUGAUGUUGCAGAAAUUCUAAACUGCUCUCCAUCAUAUUUAAAAAAUCAAGACUGUCAAGUGAAAUCCCUGGUGACUGGAAAAAGGGAAACAUUACUCCAGUAAGUAAUGGGGGACCUGGGGAACUGCAGUCCUGUGAGCCUCACCUCUGUGCCUUUGAAUAUCAUGGAGCAGAUCCUCCUGGUUAUCAUCUUAUGGCACAUAUGAGAUGAUGAAAAGGUGAUCCUAGACAGCCAUCAUGGCUUCACCAAGGGUAUAACUUGUCUGAACAAUCUUGUGGCCUUCUAUGAUGGAGUGGCAGCAU